UACGAGGGGGGCGAGCGUUGUUCGGAAUUAUUGGGCGUAAAGGGUGCGUAGGCGGUUUGGUAAGUCUGAUGUGAAAUCUAUGGGCUCAACUCAUAGUCUGCAUCGGAAACUGCCGGGCUUGAGUGUGGGAGAGGUGAGUGGAAUUCCUGGUGUAGCGGUGAAAUGCGUAGAUAUCAGGAGGAACACCUGUGGCGAAAGCGGCGCACUGGACCACAACUGACGCUGAGGCGCGAAAGCUAGGGGAGCAAACAGG
rnacentral:rRNA from 1 species